UAUAGUACUCCCUAGUUAUAUUCUAGCACCAUCCCCAAGGCCAAGACCCGGUGACUAAAAAACACCAAUAUUAUAUAUUCUCUCCUGAUUCCAUCAAUGAAAUGUAGCUAAGCAAGCUUCCUUUUUGGCAGUUAUGAACUAGCAGUAGUGCCAAGUGCUAACAGAAAAAACAAGCAAAUGCAAUUGACAAUGCAGGAGCUGGGUACUUUCCAAGAUCAAAGAUCGGGCUUCGGAGCCAGAGAUUUUAGCCCUGACUCCGUAAUCUUCACUGCUGAUUCCAACUUCAGCAUCUUCUCUUCCAAUUCUGCUAGUGUUGACCGCUGCUCUUUUGCCUCUGACGUCCCUGAUCAAGACUCUUGCCUCUCCGACAACUCGCAAUCACAACAUUUGGCAGGGCAUGAAUUACGGGAAGGGUCAGGUUCAAGAGGUGGUCCAUAUGCAGAUCCAGAUCCACACAAAUUCACCGUACACAACAAGAACAGUGUUCACCUUUGCGCCAGAAAACAAAAAGCGAAAGUUCAAGAAUUAGAAAGCAGUGAGGUUGAAACUGAGGAUGACAACUCUAUCAUAGAUUCAGCAAGGAACUCUUUUUCUCAAGCUCUUAAAGAAUGUCAAGAUAGGAGGUCUAGAUUGGAUGCUUCACGUAAGAAACCAGACAGGCGAAGACCUGCUUCUUUAGAUCUGAAUAAUUCUGUGAUUAGUACUGCUGUGAAUUCUUCUUCACCGUCUUUUGGCGUAAUGAAGAAACAUUCUGCUGUGAAUCGCCGAACGGGCACAUUUCCUAGCCCAGGAACACCAAGUUAUAGGCACACAAGUGUUGGGGUUCAAAAAGGAUGGAGUUCAGAGCGCGUGCCAUUGCCUAAUAAUAUUAAUAGGAGGCAUGUAAGUACUGCAUUGAUGCCUUGUAAUAACGGGAGGACACUGCCUUCCAAGUGGGAGGAUGCAGAGAGGUGGAUCUUCAGUCCAAUAUCAGUAGAUGGUCCAGUGAGACAGUCAGUUCAGCAGACGCAGAGGCGGCCAAAAUCAAAGAGCGGGCCUCUUGGACCUCCUGGGAUUGCAUACCAUUCGAUGUAUUCUCCUGCUGCCCUUAUGUUUGACGGAGGGAAUGUUGGAAAUCAAAUGGCGAAUUCACCAUUUUCAGCUGGAGUGAUGGUGGCUGAAGGAUUGUCUUUGCCAGGCUAUGGUGGAGGAAAUUUACCGGCAUCUAUUAUAGAGCCUUGCAUGGCAAGGUCAGUAAGUGUACAUGGAUGCACUGAACUGAUCAGCCAGUCAUCUUUGCCUGUUUACCAAGCUUUACGAACAGAUGAGAAACUUGAUGACAUUGAACAAUCAGCCACCAAUGUGUCCCGGACGGUUUCUAGGAGGGAUAUGGCAACACAAAUGAGCCCUGAGAGUAGUCACCACUCAUCUCCCAGACAUGAGUCAUCAUUUUCUCCAUCCAGUCCCAUGCUACCCAUUGUUGAGUUGCACAGCAUGCAUUCGUCUAAACCUGAAGUUAGGGAUGUGCAAGUUGAUGAACGGGUCACAGUGACUAAAUGGUCCAAGAAAAACAGAGCAAUAGUUCCUGGGAGGGGCUCAGGAAAUGCUCGUGAAUGGAAAAGGAAAUCUGUAGAUAUGCGUGCUGCAGGUUGGGAUAUUUCAGACACAGAAAAGACAAUCUCAAAGAUAAAAAGGGAGGAAGCAAAAAUAAUUGCUUGGGAGAACUUGCAGAGAGCCAAAGCUGAGGCAGCAAUACGGAAACUUGAGAUGAAACUGGAAAAGAAGAGAUCUUCAUCGAUGGACAAGAUAAUGAACAAGCUCAGAUCAGCACAAAAGAAGGCCCAAGUUAUGAGAAGCUCAGUCUUACCAAACCAGUCACAUCAAGUUGCAAGAACCUCCCAUAAGGCCAUAUCUUUUCCUCGAACUCGCCAUAUAGGUUCCUUCAGUGGCUGCUUUACCUGUCAUGCAUUUUAGUUAGUUGCACAGCUGUUUCUUUGCUGAACGAUAAAGAGUCUCACCCCAGAGAGGAACUGAAAGAAUGAGAAACAGACUGUACAAAACAUUUCAGGUAUAAACUCAGAUGCACUAGCUCGCAUCGGACAUUGCAUUUUCGGAAAGGGUUUUUGCUCGUUUCUGGAAUCAAACUGCGAAAUAUUGAAAGCUGUUUUGCUCAUGGAUUAAUAGGUAAUUCCUAAUUGCCCACACCUGUGAUAUCCCCCCCUUUAUUAAAUGAAGAAGGCACCAAAGAAGAGAAGCAAGAGAGAAGUUCAACGCGUAUGAAAAUAAAGGGUUUCUUGUUCUGUAACCACAGGUUUCAUUUGCUGAUGGAAUUUGUGAAUUUAAGCUGAGUAGCUGAAAGAGCAAUAUAGUCGUUUGUGUAAUAUUAUCUUGUAACAUUACAUUCUUCAAUCCUUGUUUGAAUUUCCGUGCUAGUGGGCCUAAUUGUAUGUAGGUUAAAUCAUGAUAAAGUGGUCUUUGUCAAAACAAGUUUUCUAUAGAAAGGUAGAAAUACGAAAACGUGUGCUUGAUGACAAGA